rnacentral:rRNA from 1 species
UCUUACGGGGGGCAGCAGUGGGGAAUAUUGCACAAUGGGGGAAACCCUGAUGCAGCGACGCCGCGUGAGUGAAGAAGUAUUUCGGUAUGUAAAGCUCUAUCAGCAGGGAAGAUAAUGACGGUACCUGACUAAGAAGCCCCGGCUAACUACGUGCCAGCAGCCGCGGUAAUACGUAGGGGGCAAGCGUUAUCCGGAUUUACUGGGUGUAAAGGGAGCGUAGACGGUUACGCAAGUCUGGAGUGAAAGGCGGGGGCCCAACCC